AGAGUUUGAUCAUGGCUCAGAUUGAACGCUGGCGGCAGGCCUAACACAUGCAAGUCGAGCGGUAGCACAGAGAGCUUGCUCUCGGGUGACGAGCGGCGGACGGGUGAGUAAUGUCUGGGAAACUGCCUGAUGGAGGGGGAUAACUACUGGAAACGGUAGCUAAUACCGCAUAAUGUCGCAAGACCAAAGUGGGGGACCUUCGGGCCUCAUGCCAUCAGAUGUGCCCAGAUGGGAUUAGCUUGUAGGUGGGGUAACGGCUCACCUAGGCGACGAUCCCUAGCUGGUCUGAGAGGAUGACCAGCCACACUGGAACUGAGACACGGUCCAGACUCCUACGGGAGGCAGCAGUGGGGAAUAUUGCACAAUGGGCGCAAGCCUGAUGCAGCCAUGCCGCGUGUGUGAAGAAGGCCUUCGGGUUGUAAAGCACUUUCAGCGGGGAGGAAGGCGGUGAGGUUAAUAACCUCAUCGAUUGACGUUACCCGCAGAAGAAGCACCGGCUAACUCCGUGCCAGCAGCCGCGGUAAUACGGAGGGUGCAAGCGUUAAUCGGAAUUACUGGGCGUAAAGCGCACGCAGGCGGUCUGUCAAGUCGGAUGUGAAAUCCCCGGGCUCAACCUGGGAACUGCAUUCGAAACUGGCAGGCUAGAGUCUUGUAGAGGGGGGUAGAAUUCCAGGUGUAGCGGUGAAAUGCGUAGAGAUCUGGAGGAAUACCGGUGGCGAAGGCGGCCCCCUGGACAAAGACUGACGCUCAGGUGCGAAAGCGUGGGGAGCAAACAGGAUUAGAUACCCUGGUAGUCCACGCCGUAAACGAUGUCGAUUUGGAGGUUGUGCCCUUGAGGCGUGGCUUCCGGAGCUAACGCGUUAAAUCGACCGCCUGGGGAGUACGGCCGCAAGGUUAAAACUCAAAUGAAUUGACGGGGGCCCGCACAAGCGGUGGAGCAUGUGGUUUAAUUCGAUGCAACGCGAAGAACCUUACCUGGUCUUGACAUCCACAGAACUUAGCAGAGAUGCUUUGGUGCCUUCGGGAACUGUGAGACAGGUGCUGCAUGGCUGUCGUCAGCUCGUGUUGUGAAAUGUUGGGUUAAGUCCCGCAACGAGCGCAACCCUUAUCCUUUGUUGCCAGCGGUCCGGCCGGGAACUCAAAGGAGACUGCCAGUGAUAAACUGGAGGAAGGUGGGGAUGACGUCAAGUCAUCAUGGCCCUUACGACCAGGGCUACACACGUGCUACAAUGGCAUAUACAAAGAGAAGCGACCUCGCGAGAGCAAGCGGACCUCAUAAAGUAUGUCGUAGUCCGGAUUGGAGUCUGCAACUCGACUCCAUGAAGUCGGAAUCGCUAGUAAUCGUAGAUCAGAAUGCUACGGUGAAUACGUUCCCGGGCCUUGUACACACCGCCCGUCACACCAUGGGAGUGGGUUGCAAAAGAAGUAGGUAGCUUAACCUUCGGGAGGGCGCUUACCACUUUGUGAUUCAUGACUGGGGUGAAGUCGUAACAAGGUAACCGUAGGGGAACCUGCGGUUG
rnacentral:rRNA from 3 species